GUAAAUAAUUACCAGAAUUGUCACAUUUAAAAGCACCGAAAGAAUCCUCAUUGCUAAUUUGAAUACUGUAUUACGAUUAUGCAAACAAUUGAAGAGAAGGGACACCAACGCUCGUUUUUUCAAUAUUAUUAUGUAAAAGGAAAACUAAACGAUUUUUGAUUAGACAGUCUCUCCCAUCUCAUUCCUCGACCACUUUUUAGCUCACAUGCUUUUACCUACAGAAAAGCAGAUAAGACAUCUGCAACUCAUCAGCACUCCUACAUUCGAAAAUUAUCCACCCAUUCAAUAAGGUCGUUUUUUGUACUUCCGCUGUAAUGA